CCCCUCCACGUCCCACUGCAGCUUAAAGGAGCUGGCAGGUGAAGAGGGUUAAUGGGGCAUUGAACAUGUGAGGUGAAAGGGGACAUUUUCGAGAAAAAGAAAUAGAAAUGCAACAGCAAUACUAAUCACUGUCCUUCACUAAUCACCAGGAGCUGUGUCUCAGCCCUGCAUCUGCUGCCCCUGGCCAGAGCCUUGUUGCCCUCUCAAGGUGCCAUGGAGAGCUCAGGGUGGCUUCUCCAGAGAGACAAGGGAGGCUGGUACUUCAAUCAGCAUUUCUCUGCUCACAGGCACCAGCAAGUGUGAUCACAGUGUGGGAGGUGAAGAAUAGCUGGUGUUUUACUGCAGGUUCCAGAGAAAAAUGCAAUUGUGACAAGCUCUGUUUUCAGCAGUGAUCAAGAAACACAAGCUCAAGAGCAGAGCCCCCUUGGACAAUGCUGCAAAGAGCAGCAUUGUCCAAGCAAUACCAGCCACUGUGGGGAGGGAGAGGAGGGAAAAGAAAAAUGCCAUGCCUUUAUAAAUUAAAAAGCUUUUUUUCUCAAGGCUAAAACAAGAUUUCUGUUUUAAGAUACUGGGAAAUCAGCCUCUGACCAGCACAGAGAACAAAGCUCCUUUAAGCACUGGCGAAACUGAGCCUACAGCCUUGUCUAAAAGGAGCCUGUGUUUCUUGCUCUGUUGCUCACUGUGCUCAGGGCUCCCGCUCUCCCUGCUCCCUGCCCGCUCCUGCUGCUGCCCCAGCAGGACACAGGGAUAAGGCAUUUUCCCCUCGCAGGGCUGCUGACAAAGGGCUGUGCCACACGUUUCCUCGAGCUCCGUGGGAAUGCCCUAACUGCACAGUCAUGAGCUGAACCCUCUCCCUCAGUCACUGUCACCCACCACACCCCAAACAUCCAUCGCACCCUGCUCACAGCCCCAGACAGCUCCAACCUGCUGCAUGAGGAGCUGCUGUGAGCAGCCCCUGGCAGGGAUUGUCAGGGGACAGGAGCUUCGGGUGGUGUAACCACAGUGAUGGGGCAGCGCCAGCACUGAGGAGCAGCUAACCAGCUACAGCCACCUCUACCCCCCCGUCAAAGAGCUGCAGAGGAGGCAAGAGAGCAGCAGGCACAGCUCCAGAUUCACCACGGGCAGCAGUGCCAGCCUGGAGCCUCAGGCACCCUUGGAGUGGCCCCGUCUCAGAUUUGGGGCUGUGGGCUCAGUUUAACGGCACCACCCCGCCUUCUCUCUCAGUGCAGGGGCCAGGACAGGGGCACACAGCUGGGGACAGGGGAGCUCGGGGCGAGCUGGGGACCAGCCGAGAGGAGAGCAGGCAGCGCAGCAGCUCAGCGGGAGCGCGGGGCAGCGCGGCACAAAAGCUGCUGCACCUGCAGAGCACAGCCGAAAGCAGCUGCCUCUUGCAGGAGCCCAGAGGAAGCUGUUGGGCCUUUCUGUUAGAAUAUGGACUGAGCAAGGGACUUUUUUCGCUUUAUAAAUAGCAACAGCAGAGUUAACCCGUGCUGAGGUGCACCGAGCUGAUCUGCCUUACUUCCUCAUUGACAUGCCUGGCUGAUCCUGGCAGAAAUCAGCAAAUUGGUACAGAAUGGCAGGAAAAUCCCGUGGCAGGACAGUCCCGGAGCUUGGGGGAACAGAAACGAGAUGGAGUCCUGUGCAAAAGCCCAAAAUCCAGUCUAAAGUUUGCCCAAGAGCCAGCACAGAGCCAGUCCUCGGAGCUCUGAGGGAAAGCAGCCAUCAAAGAUAAACAGUGAGAGCUGAACAUGGGAGGAGAGCACGGCCUGGGGGACCUGUGCUAGAGUUGUCCCAUCUCCAAGAGAUGGAUGGUGCCAAGCUCUGCACAUUCAACGAGGAUGUACCCAAAACACAAGAGCUAGUGAGAGCUGCUGCAAGCCAUCAGGAAACACCACACUGCCCUAACCACUUCUUUCUGAGAGCCCAAAAGUGCACUCAGGAGCACUUGCUGGGCUCCCUCAGCUCUGCUCACAAGGAGGUAGAGUGUCCAUGAGCAAAACCCAGCAUCACCUGGCAUCUGGUGUACCUCAAAGUCCUCAAAGAGCAGAUUAAGAGUCCAGUGACCGCGUCCAGCUCUGAGCACAGCCCACAGCAGGAGGAAUAAAAAGACAAAUUGCCGCCUAAAGUAACCUAAAGCUUCCUCUCAGUAGAAUAAGCCACCACAUGAAACAAAUUUCAGCAACAGCAUCACCAAACUAUGGUCAGCUCCAAAGGAAGUUGGGAGCAGUCAUGCUUUAGUGGCAUCACAGGGCUUGGUAUCCUUGUGGUAGCAGGCAGGGAACCAUCCUUUCCUGCAAUUAUCUUUGAAUCUGUAUUUUUGUAGGGCAAUCCACUAGUCAUCUUAGAAAAUAGUAAAUCCCACAACAGGGUUGAACUUCUCCCAAUGUCUCCUUAGGUGUGCAGCGGAAACCCAAGGAAACACUGAAGGAAGUACCCUUGCUCAGCAUCUGCCACUUCUAUACUUGGUCAUUGCCUUUAACUUGGAAAAAUCAGAAAGUAAACCUUGACAUGGGGGCAUUUCCAAUAACUUAUUUUUGUUAAUUUACUCUCUUCCUCUACAGUCAACAUUCCUCCAUAUGGAAAACUUUCCCAGAGCUGCUUCUUGAUUUAUUUAUUUUUUUUUUUUACCAAGCAUCCUCACCUCUCUGGUGCUUACCUAUUCCUCAAGACAGUCAAUGGCAAAAGGGACACUUACCAUUACACCUGCAGGCAGGAAGUCCCCAAGAGCUUGAAACAGCACUCUUGGGCAGAAUGCAUCUGAAAAUGCAGCCUUCCCUGGCAGGAAAAGUGUUACAAGGAGCUUAAUGCUCUAAACAUACAUUUAGGAUUCUUUCCCCUGAGAGAUCCCACUUAACAGGAAGACUUUUGCUACAUUUUUUUUGAAAACUGUGCAGAACCCCCAAAUGUUUUGAGUGACAACAUUUAUUAUUGCUAUAUAACUCUGUAAGAAAUGAGUAACCUACUACAGCAGUACAAAGCUUUAGAGAGGCACGAAGUUGUUAUAAAUUUGGUGUGGACACACAUUACCUUUCUCUUAAACAGAGACUGAAUUGCUGUGGAGCCUUGCUGCUGCAGUCUCCAGAGGUCUCCAGAGGAAGCCAAAGACAGACACAGCUCCUCACAGGUAACUGUGGGACAUGCAGGUCAUUCCAUGCCCCCUCUCCCAUUUCCCUUUGCAGAGGAACGAGUCUGUUAUCAGCCUUACAUGAUGAUGAAAUUCCUCAUUACUCACUGAGGCUGUAUUCCCGGACAACACCUCAGGACAGAGCUGGGCGUUCUCAGGGUGCCCAGACAGAGCCCCCACACAUCUGCCUCGUGCGGGCGCUCCCCAGGCUCCCUGGAAACUCCUUUAACACCUCAGAGCACACUGGGGCUGCAGCUGGGGCCAGAAGUGCAUUCCAGCUGGGCUUCCCCUGCAUCUGCUAACUCAGAAAAGAGCCCCUGAGGUAAAGGGCCUGCAGCUGGCAUCAGCUCCUGUGGGGUGGGUUGGUUUUGUCCAGUAGCGCUUUAAAAAAAGCCCACAACAAUAAACAAACAAAAAAAUAAUAAAGCCAUGUGUUUAUUCACAAUGAGCCUAAAAAUCUAAAAGCAAGUCCAAGGAGCUGUUAUUUUUGCUUAGUGCAGCUUGAGAGACUGGGGUCUUUCCACACAUUGUGGACACACAGAUUCAGAAGAUUCCAGCCCCAUCCCUAUAACCCUGGUACUGGAGAGCCCAUGCUGCUGUGGGAGCACAGCAGGGCAGUGCUGCCGGAAUGAAUUUAGCAGGAGCAAUUAUUUUCUUAUGGUGCUUCUUUUGGUAAGUGCAGAAGUGCAAAGCACCACUUAAAAACUCACCAGAGGCAAGGAAAUUUGCUCAAUGUUAGUGUUUCUCAAAUGGCAAAGAAAUGAAGAGGGAGAAAAAAAAUUCAGUUUGUAAAGGCAUAAGGGUAUAAAAUUUUUGUCAUUUCCAUAGCACAGGUCACACUGUGCCACCCACUUGUACUUUCCAAAACCUGUAUCAGGUUGAGAAGACAGAGGCUGAACCCAGACAAGAGAAGUAAUUGGUGGAGUAAUUCUGACUGCAAGUCAUAGAACCUCCAAAAGUGAGGUUUGUAACAGAAGCACUUCCACCAGAAGACAACUGCAACAGCAGAACUGAAACAUGAAGUUAAGGUACAUAAAUAGAAACCUCAGAAUUACAGGACAAAGCUUUAUCCUUUUUGAACUGCUAUAGAUAUUUUCACACGUGGGAGCUGCAAAACCAGUUAAUGACACUGUUACAGGUCACUGUUACUGACGUGGAGGUGCAAGAAGUUCAAGAGGGGACAACAUACAGGGAACUUCAUGUUAUUUUCCAAAUGUGACUUCAUGCAUCACUCCACCAAUAAGGGCAGGUCAACUGAAGUUCUCAUCCAGUAGAGUACAAGAGAAAUCCCAGCUUUUGGAAGUACCUGUGCUCAUUUCCUCUGAAGUAAAACAUUAUUUCCAACUCAA